rnacentral:rRNA from 1 species
AGCGAACGCUGGCGGUAGGCCUAACACAUGCAAGUCGAACGGCAGCACAGGAGAGCUUGCUCUCUGGGUGGCGAGUGGCGGACGGGUGAGGAAUACAUCGGAAUCUACUUUUUCGUGGGGGAUAACGCAGGGAAACUUACGCUAAUACCGCAUACGACCUACGGGUGAAAGCAGGGGAUCUUCGGACCUUGCGCGAUUGAAUGAGCCGAUGUCGGAUUAGCUAGUUGGCGGGGUAAAGGCCCACCAAGGCGACGAUCCGUAGCUGGUCUGAGAGGAGGAUCAGCCACACGGGAACUGAGACACGGUCCAGACUCCUACGGGAGGCAGCAGUGGGGAAUAUUGGACAAUGGGCGCAAGCCUGAUCCAGCCAUACCGCGUGGGUGAAGAAGGCCUUCGGGUUGUAAAGCCCUUUUGUUGGGAAAGAAAUCCAGCUGGUUAAUACCCGGUUGGGAUGACGGUACCCAAAGAAUAAGCACCGGCUAACUUCGUGCCAGCCGCCGCCGUAA